rnacentral:rRNA from 1 species
AUCUUCGGCAAUGGACGAAAGUCUGACCGAGCAACGCCGCGUGAGCGAAGAAGGCCUUCGGGUUGUAAAGCUCUGUCAUGAGGGAAGAACGGCUCGGGUGGCCCCGAGUAUGACGGUACCUCAGGAGGAAGCCCCGGCUAACUACGUGCCAGCAGCCGCGGUAAUACGUAGGGGGCAAGCGUUGUCCGGAAUGAUUGGGCGUAAAGCGCGCGCAGGUGGUGAUUUAAGUCUGAUGUGAAAGCCCACGGCUCAACCGUGGAGGGUCAGUGGAAACUGGAUCACUUGAGUGCAGGAGAGGAAAGUGGAAUUCCACGUGUAGCGGUGAAAUGCGUAGAGAUGUGGAGGAACACCAGUGGCGAAGGCGACUUUCUGGCCUGUAACUGACACUGAGGCGCGAAAGCGUGGGGAGCAAACAGG